AAUGAUGAAAGGUCUAAAUUCGAACAACAGGCAAAAAGAAAUUGGAAUGGUUCCACCAGUGUCUAACUAAGAAUAAUGGCUAUUACAAUUUGGGAAAAAGUCAAUUGGGAAAAUUAGGUCGUCCUCUUUCUCUCAGUUAUCAUUGUCUGUGCUAGCUUCACACUGAGAGAUGGUGAUCGUCGAACUCCUCCAAAAACCAAUUCAUUUCUUGCUUUCCAAAGUUGCCAGAGUAAAUUGGCCACCAAUUCAUUUCUUCUGGAACUUGAAUUUGGACUUUCUGCCAGGCUUCCAGGGAAUCGGGACAAGUUAGUAGACAGUGGGUAACUGAUUCCUCUUCUUCCUCACACCUUGGGCAUUUUGAAUUUAUGUUCGGAAUCCUGGAGUGAAGCUUGCUCCGAACAGAAAGUCAAUUGGAGGAUGAAAAAAUUGGAAGGCUAACCGGUAUCCAGAAUCCGCUGAAUAUCCACCAUUUUCUCCUUCAUCCAGUAAUGAAGCAAUCGAGCAUGGAGCAGAAGAAGCUCAAGAGCACCAACAAUCUCCUUCCUCCAGAGCUGAAACGACAAUCUUACUGAGGGUUCCCAUCAAACACCUUGUGUGUGUCAGGUGCGUUUCCAAGCUAUGGAACACUCACAUUUAUAAGUUGUUUGAUUAAGAAGUUUUAUAUAUAUGUAUAUGCUUGUUUGUUUUCAUGAAAAAAUAUUUUUGUAUUUUCAAAGAAAACAGCAAUACGAUUUUGAGUUAAAGGCUCCUAUUUUAUUAUUAUGUAUAUGAAAAUCGUCAUAAUAGUUUUGUUAUUAGAGUAACAUAACCGGAAGCAUAGCAUUCUGAUAGUAAAGGUGAUACAAUAAUGAUAGAAUAUUUGGAUGAAAUUGUCAAUUUUUAUAUAUUCUCUACAAUAUUAAUUUUUAAAUGUAAUAAAUUUCUUUAUGAUGUAGGUUUUUAAUUCAGUUUUCUAAUUGGCUUUUUGAUGUGUUAUGAAUUAUGAUUAUGAGUGUGCAAUGAGGGUUUAAAUAUACACUUAGUAUUGUGUAUUUAGGGCUCAAACAUGUACACAUAAUUACAAAAAUUUAACUGUCUUGAGUAUAGGCUUUUACAACUUUUAGAAUUGUUACAAAUUUCGUAUUGUAAACUAUAUUGUGGACACUAAUACCAGUCUUGUGUCACUUAUUAUUUCUCCUGUUUUUUCUAGGCCUCUAUCAAAGUAUCAUAAUAGAAAAGACUACUUAAUUUGCUUGCUUCUAUAUUUUUUUAUUUGGUUGUUUAAUGACUAAAGAUGAGAUAAUGAAUGUACAAGUAAAAUUGGCUAUGUAAAACUUAAAGAUGUUUUAUUUUAUCAAUUACAUACACAAAAUAUACACUUUUCUUUUUAAUCUUGCUCUUAACGCGAUUGGUUUUAAAUAGUUCUCUAGCAAAUUAUGGCAGAUUCAAACAAAAAUAAAUUAAUGCUUAAUCACCUUGUAUGUCAAACUACAAAAGUUUAAAAUGAAGAAUAUAACAUAGUUUUGAGUAAAAGACAAAUAGGUCUCUAACCUUUUAAAAUGCGGACAUUUUUGUCCCUCAAGAUUGGAAAAUACAUUUCAAUCCUCCACGUUUUAAAACGGCCGACAAUUAUACCCCUCCGUCCGUUUUGGGCCAAAAACGGCAACGGAGCCAACUGACAUGGAGGGGUAGAGAAUGACGUGUCCGUUACACUUACUGAAGUGGAUUGGGACGAAUUAUUAGUGGACAAAUCUAUCCCUUAAGUGCAAAACGACGCCGUUUCCACCAGUGAGCCCUAUUUCAUCAAAAUGCAAGGUGGAAGCCAUGGCCGCUGCUGGUGCGAUCGUCCAUGAUGAGUGAGGGGGGCUCUUCAUGCACAAGACCUGGACGGGGAUCUUCAUGCGCUGUUGCAGGAGGAUGUGAUCGAGAUGGGGUUGCCGCGAAGUGCUUCUGCGGCAUUUAUGCCAUUCUUUACAAGUCAAGAACAGCAUCUAAUCCCAAUAGGAUGUUUCUCGGGUGUCCAUUCUUCAAGGUGAGUGAUUAUUUUGAUAGUAGUUGGAUGAGACUGUUCUGUGUCUAAUUACGGCGUUAUCUGAAAAAUUGCUCUAGGUUAAAGAACGGUAUUGCCGGUACUUUGUCUGGCUUGAUGAACACCUGAAAAAAAUUAGGGCCAUGGAGUCUGAAGCAUUGGGUGCUGUGGAUGAUGUUGGAGGGGUAGACGUUGAAGAUCAAGUGGUGCGAAGUCAGGAAUUGGAAACAAAAAUUCAACUGGUGCGAAGUCAGGAACUGGAGAAAAAAAUGGAAGAGUUGGAGAGGAAACUAUUAUGUAUGGAGAAGGAAAAAAAUAAGUAUGUGGCAUAUUGCUUUGAUUAGUGUAGUUGUUUUUCUUGUUGUUGUAUGUUUCUUAAAGUGGUGAGAAUGAAUUGAUGUACAAUGUUGAUGAUGUAAUGAAAAUUGCCAUUGUUGAACAAGUAAAAAAUACUGUGAAUCAGCUAUUAUAUAAGGUAGUACUUCUGCAUAGAUUAUGACCAAAAUAUAAACAACAAUGUAUCUGUCUUAAUCCAAAACAUAACAGCAUAAGUUUGCCACAAAAUAACAAAACAUCUGGUUGGCAUGUAAACAAGUUUGCCAAACUACAAUAAGUAGACAGUGUUGUUUAAUUCAUACUAAAGACUAGGACAAAAAAAUAGAAAUUCAUUCAGUAGUGUUCAGUUCUUCUGAUUGUUGGAUCCAGGAGUUGGGAUGAAAUUCAUUCCUAUGGCCUCACUACCAGCAACUUUCAAGGUCUCUUCUAAUGUAGCGACACUGGCACUGAUGCUUUGAGUCUGGGUUGUAUCUGGGGGUGGAGUUGGUAGUGGAUUUGAAGGUGGAUUUGCACUUGUUCGGGGCCUUCUGAUUGUCUGCUUGGGUCUGAAUUUAGAGGCAGCAGCAGGGGUUUUGGGUUGACCCAUUCUUGGCAGCUGGGAUGGAGGCCUGAAUAGAGGUUGGACUGGAGCAGAUGGUGUUGUUGCUGCAGCAUUCUGGCUGAUGACAUCAUUCUGCAAAAGUAACCGAAUUAUUCAGUUGUUCAAAUGCAUGGACAAGAAUAAAGUGAUUGGCAUUAUGAGUGUAUUAUUUAGGGGGGCUUACUGGAGACUUUUCUUGCGCAGCAUUAUUCUCAGCAAAACUUUCAGUCUGUGUCUGGUUUUCAUCCUAUGCAACAUAGAUCCAACAAGGAAACAACAUGGACAAAUUAAUCCUUAAAAAAAAUUAUAAUGACAUCGUAACCACUGACAAAAUUUAAAAUGUACAGAUUUAUCCUAAAGCAUAGCAGGGAUAUCUCUGGUUGAGGGGCUGAUUGUGAAAGGGGAAGCAGCACCAAGGGUUGUGUGUUGUCAGCAGUCUUCUUAGCUUUUUUCUUUUUUGGUUUCCAAUUUGGGUUGCUUGGUGCUCCCUUACAGGUCUUAUAGUUAUGGUCUUUCUCAUUGCACUUGUUGCAUGUCACUUGAAAGCUUCUCUUAAGCUUGUCACCCUGAAUAUGAGACUCAGCAGGAUCCUUGUUGCGAUUGUGUACCUUUGGCCUCCUAAUAGGUCGCUUGAUGUGUGGUGGAGCAGGCCUCAGCUGGUCAGUGGUUAUCCAAAAUUUCUCACUUGAAACUGGUUUUAUGCAAUGUGCAUAUGUCUUGUGAAUAGAUUCCAUACAUAACCAGGGAUGCACAUAAUCAUCUACCUGGUCAUGCCUCUUUCUAAUUGCAGCAAUACCGUGAAUGCAUGGCAUGCCUGAAUCAAAACCACAUACCAUAUUACCUAUCAUUAUAUUAGAUCAGCC